UACGGAGGGUGCAAGCGUUAUCCGGAUUUACUGGGUUUAAAGGGUGUGUAGGCGGGCUUUUAAGUCAGUGGUGAAAUCUCCGGGCUCAACCUGGAAACUGCCAUUGAUACUAUUAGUCUUGAAUUUUGUUGAGGUAGGCGGAAUAAGUCAUGUAGCGGUGCAAUGCAUAGAUAUGACUUAGAACACCAAUUGCGAAGGCAGCUUGCUAAACAAAUAUUGACGCUGAGGCACGAAAGCGUGGGGAUCAAACAGG
rnacentral:rRNA from 1 species